UGAGGAAUAUUGGUCAAUGGGCGAGAGCCUGAACCAGCCAUGCCGCGUGCAGGAUUAAGGCCCUAUGGGUCGUAAACUGCUUUUGAAUGGGAAUAAUGUGAGGCACGUGUGCUUUAUUGCAGGUACCAUUCGAAUAAGGAUCGGCUAACUCCGUGCCAGCAGCCGCGGUAAUACGGAGGAUCCGAGCGUUAUCCGGAUUUAUUAGGUUUAAAGGGUACGUAGGCUGCUAUGUAAGUCAGGGGUGAAAUACACGGGCUUAACCUGUGUGCUGCCCUUGAUACUGCGUGGCUAGAGUUGUUACGGGGCAAGCGGAAUGUGCGGAGUAGCGGUGAAAUGCAUAGAUACCGCACAGAACACCGAUAGCGAAGGCAGCUUGCCAGAUACACACUGACGCUGAGGUACGAAAGCGUGGGUAGCGAACA
rnacentral:rRNA from 1 species